CAUGCAAGUCGAACGAUGAAGCCCUUCGGGGUGGAUUAGUGGCGAACGGGUGAGUAACACGUGGGCAAUCUGCCCUUCACUCUGGGACAAGCCCUGGAAACGGGGUCUAAUACCGGAUAACACUCUGUCCCGCAUGGGACGGGGUUAAAAGCUCCGGCGGUGAAGGAUGAGCCCGCGGCCUAUCAGCUUGUUGGUGGGGUAAUGGCCUACCAAGGCGACGACGGGUAGCCGGCCUGAGAGGGCGACCGGCCACACUGGGACUGAGACACGGCCCAGACUCCUACGGGAGGCAGCAGUGGGGAAUAUUGCACAAUGGGCGAAAGCCUGAUGCAGCGACGCCGCGUGAGGGAUGACGGCCUUCGGGUUGUAAACCUCUUUCAGCAGGGAAGAAGCGAAAGUGACGGUACCUGCAGAAGAAGCGCCGGCUAACUACGUGCCAGCAGCCGCGGUAAUACGUAGGGCGCAAGCGUUGUCCGGAAUUAUUGGGCGUAAAGAGCUCGUAGGCGGCUUGUCACGUCGGAUGUGAAAGCCCGGGGCUUAACCCCGGGUCUGCAUUCGAUACGGGCUAGCUAGAGUGUGGUAGGGGAGAUCGGAAUUCCUGGUGUAGCGGUGAAAUGCGCAGAUAUCAGGAGGAACACCGGUGGCGAAGGCGGAUCUCUGGGCCAUUACUG
rnacentral:rRNA from 1 species